rnacentral:rRNA from 1 species
AGUCGAGAAUCAUUCGCAAUGGGCGAAAGCCUGACGGUGCGACGCCGCGUGGAGGAUGAAGGCCCUAGGGUCGUAAACUCCUGUCAUCAGGGAGUAAGGGCUCAUAUAGUAACUGCUAUGGGUCUUGAUAGUACCUGAAGAGGAAGGGACGGCAAACUUCGUGCCAGCAGCCGCGGUAAUACGAAGGUCCCAAGCGUUGUUCGGAUUUACUGGGCGUAAAGAGUCUGUAGGCGGUGGGGUAAGUCAGAUGUGAAAUCCCGGGGCUCAACCCCGGAACUGCAUCCGAUACUGCCUUACUUGAGGGUCGGAGGGGAGUCUGGAAUUCUCGGUGUAGCAGUGAAAUGCGUAGAUAUCGAGAGGAACACUAGUGGCGAAGGCGAGACUCUGGACGACAACUGACGCUGAGAGACGAAGGCCAGGGGAGCGAA